rnacentral:rRNA from 1 species
UACGUAGGGGGCUAGCGUUGUCCGGAAUCAUUGGGCGUAAAGCGCGCGUAGGCGGCCAGAUAAGUCCGGUGUGAAAGCCACAGGCUCAACCUGUGAAUGCCGCUGGAAACUGUCUGGCUAGAGUCCGGGAGGGGCGAGUGGAAUUCCUGGUGUAGCGGUGAAAUGCGCAGAUAUCAGGAGGAACACCAAUGGCGAAGGCAGCUCGCUGGAACGGAACUGACGCUGAGGCGCGAAAAGCAUGGGGGAGCGAACAGG